CAGUCGCCGCGGUAAUGCGUAGGUGGCAAGCGUUGUCCGGAAUUAUUGGGCGUAAAGGGCUCGCAGGCGGUUUCUUAAGUCUGAUGUGAAAGCCCCCGGCUCAACCGGGGAGGGUCAUUGGAAACUGGGAAACUUGAGUGCAGAAGAGGAGAGUGGAAUUCCACGUGUAGCGGUGAAAUGCGUAGAGAUGUGGAGGAACACCAGUGGCGAAGGCGACUCUCUGGUCUGUAACUGACGCUGAGGAGCGAAAGCGUGGGGAGCGAACAGGAUUAGAUACCCCCGUAGUCCCUGUCUCUUAUAC
rnacentral:rRNA from 1 species